GCGGUAAUACGGAGGGUGCGAGCGUUGUCCGGAAUCACUGGGCGUAAAGGGCGCGUAGGUGGCGCAGGCAGUCAACGGUGAAAGCUCGGGGCUCAACCCCGAGUCGGCCGUCGAUACUCCUGGGCUGGAGCACUGUAGAGGCAGGUGGAAUUCCGGGUGUAGCGGUGGAAUGCGUAGAGAUCCGGAAGAACACCGGUGGCGAAGGCGGCCUGCUGGGCAGUUGCUGACACUGAGGUGCGAAAGCGUGGGGAGCAAACAGG
rnacentral:rRNA from 1 species